rnacentral:rRNA from 1 species
UACAGAGGUCUCAACCGUUGUUCGGAUUCAUUGGGCGUAAAGGGUGCGUAGGCGGCGGGGCAAGUCAGGUGUGAAAUCUCGGAGCUUAACUCCGAAACUGCAUUCGAUACUGCCGUGCUUGAGGACUGGAGAGGAGACUGGAAUUUACGGUGUAGCGGUGAAAUGCGUAGAUAUCGUAAGGAAGACCAGUGGCGAAGGCGGGUCUCUGGACAGUUCCUGACGCUGAGGCACGAAGGUCAGGGGAGCAAACGGG